rnacentral:rRNA from 1 species
CUCGGUGAUUUGAGCGAGGUGGACCCACCUCUUCCCAUUCCGAACAGAGUCGUGAAACAUCUCAGCGUUGACGAUAGUAGUUGAUUUAACUAACUGCGAAAAUAGAUCAUUGCCGGGA